rnacentral:lncRNA from 1 species
UGGAUAAUUUAUUGAAAAACAGAGGUUUAUUUAGCUGAUAUUCCAGGAGGCUGAGCAGUCCGGGAGCAUGACACCAGUGACAGGAACUCUGCAGCUUCCCCAGGCAGCCCAGAGCAUCACAUGUGAGGGAGGCUCACGAGAAACAGUAAAACUGGCUUUCGUAACAGACCCACUCUCCUAAUAACUAACCCUCUCUCUUAACAAUCCAUCGAUUCAUUAAUCCAUAACUGAAUUAACCUCUUCAUGAGGGCUUUGCUAUCACUUCCCAAAGAGCCCACCUCUCAACCCUGCUACACUGGGGACAGAAUUUGGAAACACAUGAACUUGGGGAAUACCAGGAAACCAUAGCACUCCUUGAAUGACUUAUGCCUACAAAAGAAGUAUUCGGCUAACUUCAGAGUGGGGAAGAAGAAACCCAGUCUCCUGCCUCCACUGGGGCUCCUGAAUGUCUCUAAGUGCCCUUCCAAGUAGUGCCUAGAAAACAGGAUGCUGUUCUAAGGAAAGCACUGACCACAAGCCAAAUCCUCCCUCUGAAAGCUUCUCCUUCAGUAUUUGCAGAGAUGGGCUCCUGGACUGUGUCUAUUGUACUGGCCACCGAUUGAGUCAACUGCCAUCUGUACAGGUCCUUUCACUUCAGGCAGCUGGGGGAGAAGAUGGCAGCGAGCUGUGAAGAAAACCCAGGUUCCUCCUAACCCUAGGAACCGGGCCACUGGGCUGAGCUCCAAAAACUGCUUUGUUCAAGUUAUUAUAACCAAGAAACUUCAAAAGGUUCAUGAAACAGUCCAAAGAGGGAAGUUUAAGAGGCCACAGAGAACAUCCUGUGGACAACAGAUGAUGCUUUCCAGUGAGGUCUUACAAAGGGUUUCCUAAAUAGAGGAGCCUGUGCUCUUGACUGCCAUCAUCUGUUUCUUUGAGCAAAUUCUCCUCCGAAUAUGAAGUUUAUUUUAGACACAGGCACACAGUUCUUCUGAGGUCUUUUUUGUUGUUUUGUUUUGUUUUUAAGGAGAUGCUCUCAUCAAGAUAUAUGGAUGGAAGAAAAAGCAGACCCAGU